rnacentral:tRNA from 1 species
AUAGUAAAUAGCUUAAAUAAAAAGUUAAUUAUUUACACUAAUAGGAUAUCUAAUAGAUUUUACUU